rnacentral:rRNA from 1 species
UGGGGAAUAUUGGGCAAUGGACGCAAGUCUGACCCAGCAACGCCGCGUGAAGGAAGAAGGCUUUCGGGUUGUAAACUUCUUUGACAGGGGAAGAGUAGAAGACGGUACCCUGAAAACAAGCCACGGCUAACUACGUGCCAGCAGCCGCGGUAAUACGUAGGUGGCAAGCGUUGUCCGGAUUUACUGGGUGUAAAGGGCGUGCAGCCGGGCUGACAAGUCAGAUGUGAAAACCAGGGGCUUAACCUCUGGACUGCAUUUGAAACUGUUGGUCUUGAGUAUCGGAGAGGUAACCGGAAUUCCUAGUGUAGCGGUGAAAUGCGUAGAUAUUAGGAAGAACAUCAGUGGCGAAGGCGGGUUACUGGACGACAACUGACGGUGAGGCGCGAAAGCGUGGGGAGCAAACAGG